AUUGAACGCUGGCGGCAGGCCUAACACAUGCAAGUCGAGCGGCAGCGGAAAGUAGCUUGCUACUUUGCCGGCGAGCGGCGGACGGGUGAGUAAUGUCUGGGAAACUGCCUGAUGGAGGGGGAUAACUACUGGAAACGGUAGCUAAUACCGCAUAACGUCGCAAGACCAAAGAGGGGGACCUUCGGGCCUCUUGCCAUCAGAUGUGCCCAGAUGGGAUUAGCUAGUAGGUGGGGUAACGGCUCACCUAGGCAACGGUCCCUAGCUGGUCGGAGUGGAGGACCAGCCAAACUGGAACUGAGACACGGUCAAGGCUCCUACGGGAGGCAGCAGUGGGGAAUAUUGCACAAUGGGCGCAAGCCUGAUGCAGCCAUGCCGCGUGUAUGAAGAAGGCCUUCGGGUUGUAAAGUACUUUCAGCGGGGAGGAAGGUGUUGAGGUUAAUAACCUCAGCAAUUGACGUUACCCGCAGAAGAAGCACCGGCUAACUCCGCGCCAGCAGCCGCCGUAACAC
rnacentral:rRNA from 1 species